rnacentral:rRNA from 1 species
AUACGUAGGUGGCAAGCGUUAUCCGGAUUUACUGGGUGUAAAGGGCGUGUAGGCGGGACUGCAAGUCAGAUGUGAAAACUAUGGGCUCAACCCAUAGCCUGCAUUUGAAACUGUAGUUCUUGAGUGUCGGAGAGGCAAUCGGAAUUCCGUGUGUAGCGGUGAAAUGCGUAGAUAUACGGAGGAACACCAGUGGCGAAGGCGGAUUUCUGGACGAUAACUGACGCUGAGGCGCGAAAGCGGGGGGAGCAAACAGGAUUAGAUACCCUGGUAGUCCACGCCGUAAACGAUGGAUACUAGGUGUGGGGGGUCUGACCCCCUCCGUGCCGCAGCUAACGCAAUAAGUAUCCCACCUGGGGAGUACGAUCGCAAGGUUGAAACUCAAAGGAAUUGACGGGG